rnacentral:lncRNA from 1 species
GUUGAUCGAAGUGAAAUUUAUGAGAUUGGGGAAGCGGAUAACUCUAUUUGCCCGGAAGAACACUAUGGUCUGGGGAGUGAAACUCCUGUGUAUUGUCUAAGAACACCACUCCGUCCAUGGAUGACUCCAGCAAGAGAUGCACCUGCAAAACCUAUUCAUGAAGAAAUGAGAACACCUAUACGAAGUUGAGCAUGGAAUCCUUGCAGCUAAUUGUAGUACUUAGUAUUCUUUUAGUCCUUACUUAUUCCUAGUUUCUUCUUUCUGAAUGUAAACACACAUUACGUUUACUCUGCAAUAUAAUAUUUGGUAGUUCGAUAUGCAGAGUUGGUUUUACGCUAAUGGCAACAUUUAUAAGAGUGAUAAAAGAACAGGUUCUAAUGAAUCUAAAGUAGUAACAAAACUAGUGCUACUGUAUAUCAUUCUUUCUACAGUGAAAUACUGAUUUCUCAUUCCAGAAGAUGUUUCAAUUUCUGUUUUUAUAUAUGCAGAACAGAUGUUUCAUGGAAAUUGAACUAAGAUGCUUGACUUAUUACAAAGACACUUCUUCUUGUGCCAGUAUUUUAUAAGUGCAAGCUUCCUAAAGUAAAAUACAGUGGUUUCAUUUCAUAUUUUAUUAAUAGGUGCAUUUGGAAUCGAUUGAAGUUGUAUUACUGAUAAUUGAUUUUCAUGUCACAGUGUUCGGCAACUUAAAAAGGGAGGACAAGCAGAUAGCAGCUGUCUCCUUUACGUGGACGUAGAAGCUGUGGCAACAUUGCUACUUUUCUCCUUAUUCCAUGAUGUCAUUUCAGGUCUUCUGGCAGCACUAGGUCUCUAUUGUGGCUUCGCAAAAACGAACCCAAGACUUUGAUUCCUAUAUAUAUGCAUCUGCUUGGCCUGUGGCAACAAAUACCACCCAUUACUAGGUCAGUUGUACUCGUCUUCUCAUAAGUUAUUACUGAUGAAGUAAGAAAAUCUUAAGAACCAGCUGCUUUACCUGAAUGACACGUUGAAAUCUCUUUUGUUAUAACUUGAGUAGGCUGACAUUUCUUAAAUGCUGGCAUUGAGAAAUUGAAAGGCUAUUUUUACCUCAGUUAGCUGGAAUUUUUGUCUCAUAACAUAAGCCAAGUCUAUCUUUGGAAGGUCAAAUAUCCUGGAACAACUUUCAUCUAAAUGUAGUUCCGUAGAAUUGCUCUCUGUCUAGAAUGAUUCUCUUGAAAAUAUAUGAAUUAUAUGCCAUGACAAAUCACCUAUUUGGUCACAUUUUUUCGAUGUCAGAUGUUCUUAACAGUCAAAUUUUCCAGUUUUAAAUUUUUAAGCAAACUGUAGCAUACUCAACUUCUUAAAAGAUAUAUAAUUCAAGCAAAAACUCAGCCUUUUCUGUGGACAUACAGCACACUAACGGAAUUUGAACUUCAAAUUACCAGAAAUACCAUGGUCAAAAAGCAUCUACUCAACUAUCGAAAACACCAAAUGACACAAACAUUUGAUUCCCCUAGGACCGCAACUUGGCAUUAGCUCGAGCACUCCGUGUUCUAGAUGUUGAAGUCGAAGCAAGCGUAGUUUUCUUUUCUGUUAGGGGCUCACACUCAUUAUGUGUAGAAGAUGCAUUAGUGUCCGCAGAUGUUGAAGUCGAUGCAAGUGUUUUCUUUUUUCCUGGGGGCUCAUACUCAUCAUGUGAAGAAGAUUUACUAGUGUCCUCUGAUGUCGGAGUCGCUGCAAGGUUAGGUUUCUUUGUUGGAGGGGCCUCAUACACAUCGCGUGAAGAAUAUUCUCUAGGUGUAUGCCUCUUUGUCCUGCUUCUACUUGCAACAUCAGCGUGCUCACAUUUUUUGACGAAACAUGAAGCUUCUUUCUCGCACAAGCUCUGCCUAUCAAACACUGAAACAUCAAACCUCGAUCCAUUAUACUUGAAUAUUAACAAGUCAUCUUCCUCUAGGGAAUGGGCGUCCACGAAUUCUUUCCACCCAUCUUUGAGGAAUAAUGCAUCUCCAAUUAGAGUCAGUCUGACAUUCCAAGUUGCACCACUAGGUCCUGUCAGACUAACAGAAUCUCCUAGCUUUUCUCUCAGAUUGUUGGCAAAUUUUUUGGGAAUGGCCUACAAUUUCAUCAUUUCUUGUUAAGAUUCACGUUUGGUGUAAAAUAAACUAGCUAAGAUGGAAUCCAAAUAAAUCAAAAGGAGCAAAUAGAAACAUGGAAAGUUUUCUAGUCUGCAACAACACACACACAGAGUAAAGGUUAAGGUUUGUACUUGGAAUAUUUUUUUCCCGGAUAGUGAAAAUCACUGAAGGGGAGCCUUGGAGUAACUGGUAAAGUUGCUGCCAUGUGACCGGUAGGUCACGGGUUCAAGCCUUGGAAACAGCCCCUUGGAAACAGCCCCUGACAAAAAUGCAAGGUAAGGCUGUGUACAAUAGACCCUUGUGGUGGGGCUCUUCCCCGGACACCGCGCAGAGCGGCAGCUUAGUGCACCGGGCUGCCGUUUAUAGUGAAAAUCACUAUGAACAAGGCAUCGAACUAACAUAUAGUAACACGAAAACAAUACUAUUGUUACAACAACCCAAGAUAGAAUGGGACAUUUAAACAACUAUAGUCAUAACAAAUUAUUUUCCUCGUAAUGAUGCAGAAAGCAACAAUUGACAAGUAAACCAUGAUGUUUCACAUUUAAAUUUCAGGGGAGGCAACUCAUUAUGUUAGGUGAUUUCUUUUCAUAUGUGCAAACCUUGGUGGAUAGUGUUACCAUAUUGUAGGGGAGUUGAUUUGUUAGAUGGUCAUUCAUUUAAUAAUUAUUAUUUUAGAAAGUCAGAUAAUAACUAUAGCUCAAUAACCAUAUGCGAAAUCAAUUCCCUGUGGGAUGUUCAUAAUUCGGUUAAAAAUUGAUCCAAUAGGAUUAAACAAACCAAUACUUUUAGAGGUUGAGUCAGAUUUUUAAUUUUAAAAAUCGACAACAAUAUUUGAUUUGAUUUUAUUAAAAAAACUAAAGCAGAAAUCGAACUAAACAGAAAAUUAAAUACAUAAUAUUAUAAUUAUAUAUACACAGUAUGUUUUCUUGUUAAAUUUGACAUAUCUUAUAUUUUUUUGGUCAAAAAUUUAUUUAUGAUUCAAUAAUUAUUAAGUUAAGAAAAAAAUCUUAGUCUCAAAAUUUAAUAUAAUUGCCCAACCAUAGUCGUGCUAUGUUAUUUUAUUGAUUUUGAUGAUUGUAUCUCUAUUUGAAAAGGAAAAAGGGUGUUUCAAAUUGAAUUCAAUAAAUUUACAAUUCAUCUCUCCAUUUUCUAUAAAAGGAAGGUGGGAGCAUAAUUUCGUUCCCAAUAGGGAUCUUGUUUUUUUUUUUUUUUGCCUUUUCAUUUUUUCUCAUCCGAACAUCACAACUGUAUCAACAACAACAUACCAAGUAUAUUUCAACAACGUGGAGCCUGAGAAUGGUAAAGCGUAUACAGUCUCUCCUCGUGAUCCCUGCUCCCCACAAACUUCGCAUAAGCAACCUUCUUAGUCUCCACCUUCCUCUUAACUUCUUCGUUCCACCACUAGUCCCCCCAGUCCCCCCGUUGCUUGCCCGAUCGGACUCUCGAGACACACAAUACCUCUCUAGCUGUCUCACCGAUGCAACUGAUAGUAAUCUCCCACAUACUAUCCACAUCCCCUCUAUUCUCCCAAGCCCCUUGGUCGGCAACUUCUCUCCAAUCUCCACCGCACUUGCCAAAGUCAAGCUACCUCACUUAAUUCUGGGUUGAUCCUCCAUAACCCUCUUCAUUUCCCCAUCUUGAUUUCCAAGUCCAACACCAAAAGCUUAUGUUAGAUCAAAAAGAUUCUCACUAGGUAUGACCAUACAGUCUUUACAUAGCACUCAACACUCUAUCACUCUUUCUAAGGAGCAAAAAAUCUAUUUGAAUCUCGGCCAUCGAACUACGAAAAUUAAUAAGGUGCUCUUCCUCCUUUGCGAAGAACGAAUUUACUAUCACCAAACCAAGGGCCCUAGAAAAAUCAAAAAAUGAGGCUCCUCCUCCAUUUCUUUUCCAGAAACUGAAUCCUCCCUACACAUCAUCACAACCUCUCGAUAAUAACCCGAUAUGCCCAUUGAAAUCGUCUUCUAUGAAAGGUUUCUCAGCGCUUGGAACGCCUCUCACCACCUCGUCCAGAAUCUCCAAAAUGCUCAUUUUCUCUUACUCAUCCAAGCCUAUUUGCCGAGUAUAUAUAGGCACUAAUAACGUUCCACGUAGACUCUCUAAUGACCAACUUAAUCGACAUCAACCUAUCAUUGACCCGCUUAACCUUCACCGCCUACCCCCUAAGCUCUUCAUCUAUUAAGAUACCUACCCCAUUCCUAUGCCUCACGCUACCCCAUUCCUAUGCCUCACGCUACGAGAGCACCACAACUUGUACCCAUUCACAUCCUUCGCCUUAGACCCUACCCAUUUGGUCUCCUGGACACAAGCUAUACCAAUCCUCUUCUUCCUAAGAAUCUUCAUGAGAUAUAUAGACUUACCUUGAAGAGUUCCUAUGUUUCAAAACCCAACUUUCAACCUAUAGGCUCCCUUAUCACACUUAUCCCUACUACCCUUCACCUCCAAUCCAAGCUCGACCCUGACCCUGACCUCAGCCUGAACCUCAAUCUCAGCCCCAACCCCGACCAAUGACAUGACCCUAGUCUACCAUCGACCACCAAAUCCACUACUCAAUAAGAGAAAAAAUAAAAAGGCGUGCAAAUAGGUAAAGUUCAGCAACAACAACAAAAAAAACAUACCCGGUGGAAAAUAAAAUUUGAACUCUUUAGCAACAACAAAAACAACACAUAGCAAAAAGGUAAAGUCACUCUUUUCCCCCAAAAAAAAUUCUGAAAAUUAUUUUUUAAAAAAUCAAUAAGGACUUGAAAUUCCGCUAAAUUUCCUCCACAUAGCAAGCCUCAUUAGAAAAUAAAAUGAGCUUUUACACUUACAAGUUGUUGAUCAAAAAUUCCAGAGAGAAUCUGAAAAAAUUGAACCACUUGAAACUCUGACCAGUACAUUUGCUCUUUCCAUUUCUUGCAAAUCUUACACUCACUCCUCAUUCUGCUAAAGGAAAAAAACUGAGUGAAAAAAAUGGAAAAUAAGAAUUUCUUUUUUGCAAAUCCUCUAUUCGAUAUAUUGAUAGUUCUAGGGAGAAGUUGAUAAGGUACGGCAUCGAGAUUCGAGACUAGUGGUGUACGAAUUAUGAAAGCAUUGUUUUCGUUGCACUAUAAAUAUGACAAUAAAAUAAGAACAACGGAGAAGGGAAAAGAAAGGAAAUUAUGUGUGCACUAUAAAGAAAAUCAAAAAGAAGAGAAAAGUUGCAAAAUUUUAUAGGAUCUUCCUUAGACCUUCCGGGAGGAACUGAGGUUGGGACAAGAGAAUCAGAUGUUAGGGAAACAUUGUUGCGUCAGUCGAAAUUAGGGCUUAUCUAAUUGAAUCAGAAAAGCACAUACAUGUAAAAUGACGAAAUUCUUUCAGUGAGAGAAUCACUUGUUAGAUUAAAUCCAAGGAUAGGUUUGAUUGACAGGGUGUUGGAUCUAACGAACAACGAGUAGUUUCUUAAUGAGCGAAUUCAGUCCUAUAAUCAUCACGAAAAAUGCACAAUGGGAAGGGAUGUUGGUCUGCUUAGACUGAAGAAGCAGCGGCUAUCAUUUCUGAAAUAUAAAAUCAAGAACAACCUUCGAAUAACAGAGGAAUAAAGCUAUUAAAAAAAGAAUUUUCCAAGAAUAGAAAAUUGUAAUCCCUUUCUGGUGCCAAAUACUUACAUUGGUAAUAUCGAAAAUAAAUGAAAAGAGAUUGGUGUCGACUUCCAGAAAGUCUGAAACUCUUGCCCCCACUAGAUCUUUUAUCUCAAUCGUGUCAUCACGGUAGUAAUGUAUAUCCAAUCUUUAGAUUUUUUCCUUUUCAAUGAAGGCGAUUUCUAUCUUUGCAAUUCUUUAAUUUCUUUCUUAAGCAACUUAUUAGCUUGAAAUCAUUCGUUUCUUUUAAAACUUUUAUCAUUUAGUAGGCUUUCACGUGGCGCAAAUUCAUAUUAGUAUGCACUAAAUAUAAAAUAUAAAAUGGUCAACUAAAGUCUCAAAGGACUAUAAAAUCUACUUCCAUUCCAACUCUAGUACUCUUUUGCCAUUUUCAACUCCCAAUGCUCUUUUUGUUGAUACUCUUUAGACUUUCAAGUCUCUCUAAUUCUCCAAGUUUAUAAUCAACAUUUCUACAAUAAGAUGAAUUCUUAAUUAAAAAAAUAAAAUAAAAAGUGUUCUAUUCUUCAAAGAUUUGAAAUCACAUAAAUAUUCAUGAUUAAAGUCUCCUUAUUUCUCAGUCCUAAGCUAAGUCUUCUUCAAUGACCGAUCACUUUUUAGCAAAUUUAAGUAAAGUCUUAAAGGAAACAAAAGAUUUCAAGCUAACAAGCUGCUUAAGAAAGAAAUUAAAGAGUUGAAAAGACGUUUGAGAAAGAAAAAAUCUAAAGAUUGGACAUACAUCACUAUCGUGAUGACACGAUUGAGAUGAGAGAUCUGGUAGGGCCUUUAGGAAAAUUCAAGAGUUUCAGACUUUCUAGAAGUCGACACUGAUCUUUUUUCAUUUGUUUUUGAAAUUACCAAUGUAAGUAUUUGACACCCAAAAGGGAUUGCGAUUUUAUAUUCUUGGAGAAUUGCUUUUUUUAAUAGCCUUAUUCCUCCUUUAUCCGAAGGUUGUUCUUGAUUCUUGAUUUCAGCAAUGGUAGUCGCUGCUUCUUCAGUCUAUGCACACUAGCAUGCCUUCCUAAUGUGCAUUUUUCGAACAAAGAAGACGAUUAUAGGAUUGAAUUCGCUCAUUAAGAAACCACCCGUUGUUUGUUCGAUCCAACACCGUGCCAAUCAAACCUAUCCUUGGAUUUAAUCCAACAAGUGAUUCUCUCCAUGAAAGAAUUCCGUCGUCUCACAUGUAUGUGCUUUUCUGAUUCAAUUACAUAAUCCCUAAUUUCGACCGACUGAACAAUCUUUCCCAAACAUUAGAUUCUCUUGUUCCAAUCUCAUUCCUCCCAAAAGGUCAAAAGAGCCUAUAAAAUUUGGCAACUUUUCUCUUCGUUUUGAUUCUCUUUCUAGUGCACACAUAAUUUUCUUUCUUUUUCCUUCCUCCGUUGUCCUUAUUGUAUUGACAUAUUUAUAGUGCGAUGAAACCAAUGUUUUCGUAAUUCAUACACCACUAGUUCCGAAUCUCGAUACCGCAUCUUAUCAACUUUUCCCUAGAACUAUCAAUAUACCGAAUAGAGGAUUUGCAAAAAAGAAAUUCUUUAUUUUCCAUUUUUUCACUCAGUUUUUCUUUUCCUUUAGCAGAAUGAGGAGUGAGAGUAAGAUUUGCAAGAAAUGGAAAGAGCAGAUGUGAGGUUCAAUUUUUCAGAUUCUCUCCGGAACUUUUGAUCAACAACUUGUUAGUGUAAAAGUUCCUUUUAUUUUCUAAUGAGGCUUGCUAUGUGGAAGAAAUUUAGCAAAAUUUCAAGUCCCCUCUGAUGUUUUAAAAAAUGAUCUUCAGAAUUUUUUUGCGAAAAAUUGUCACUUUACCUUUAUGCUAUGUGUUGUUUCCAUUGUUAUAGAGUACAGAUUUUAUUUUUACACUGGGUAUGUUGUUGUUGUAGAGUUCAGAUUUUUGAGUGUUAGUUCAGAUUAGUGCUUUCGUCUUGAUAUUCUUUCUUGUGUUCCCCGAUUUCUAGCAGAUUCCAUAUUAGGGCGUGUUAUAAACCAUUGUUUCCUUUUAAGACUUGCCUAUUUGUUUUUUAGCCUUAUCUAUUUGUGCGCUUUCUUAUUUGUUCCUCUUAUUGAGUAGUGGCUUUGGUGGUUAAUGGUAGACUAGGGUCAUGUGAUACGUCGGGGUUAGGAUGGGGUUGUGAUCGAGGUCAGGGUGAGGUCAAGGUCAAGUUCAGGAUCAGGGUCUGGGUUAGGGUUGAGCUUGGGGUUGAGGGUGAAGGGCAGUAGGGAUAAGUGGGAUAAGAGAGCCUAUAGGUUAAGAGUUGGGUAGUGGAACUCUUCAAGGUAAGUCCAUAGAGCUUAUAACACUAUCCACCAAGGUUUGGACAUAUGAAAAGAAAUCACUUAAUGUCUUGCCUCCGGUGAAAUUUAAAUCUGAGACAUCAUGGUUUACUUGUCAAUUGUUGCUUUUACGGAGGCGCUACCCUCGAAGAAUAACUUGUUCACUUGUUCUGCAUCAUUACGAGGAAAAUAAUUUGUUAUGCAUAUAGUUGUAUAAACAUCCCAUUUCUAUCUUGGGUUGUUGUAACAAUAGUAUUGUUUUAGUGUUACUGUAUGUUAGUUCGAUGUCUUGUUCAUAGCAAUUUUCACUAUCUGGAAAGAAAACUAUUCCAAGUACAAAUCUUUACUCUACUGUGUGGUGCUGCAGACUAGAAAACUUUCCAUGUUUCUAUUUGCUCCUUUUGAUUUAUUUGGAUUUUGGCCAAUCUUAGCUAGUUUAUUUCACACAAAACGUGAAUCUUAACAAGGAAUGAUGAAAUUGCAGGCCAUUCCCAAAUUUGCCAACAAUCUGAGAGAAAAGCUAGGAGAUUCUGUUAGACUGACAGGACCUAGUGGCGCAACUUGGAAUGUCGGACUGACUCUAAUUAGAGAUACAUUAUUCCUCAAACAUGGGUGGAAAGAAUUCGUGGGCACGCCCAUUCCCUUGAGGAAGAUGACUUGUUAAUAUUCAAGUAGAAUGGAUCCUCGAGGUUUGAUGUUUCAGUGUUUGAUAGGCAGAGCUCGUGUGAGAGAGAAGCUUCAUGUUUCGUCAAAAAAUGUGGGCAUGCUGAUGUUACAAGUGGAAGCAGGACAAAGAGGCAUACACGUAGAGAAUAUUCUUCACGUGAUGUGUCUGAGGCCCCUCCAACAAAGAAACCUAAGCUUGCAGCGACUCCGACAUCAGAGGACACUAGUAAAUCUUCUUCACAUGAUGAGUAUGAGCCCCCAACAAAAAAGAAAACACUUGCAUCGACUUCAACAUCUGCGGACACUAAUGAAUCUUCUUCACAUAAUGAGUAUGAACCCCCAACAAAAAGACAACUAAGCUUGCAUCGACUUCAACAUCUAGAGCACGGGGUGCUAGAGCUAAUGCCAAGUUGCCGUCCUAGGGAAAUGAAAUGUUAUGUCUGGACUGAACUGGACCAUGCCAGGAACCACAAUGGAGUUAGUAAACUGUUGCAAAAAAUGGGGAGGUAGAGGAAUACAUAAGAAAUGGUGGGGACUAUUCCACCUUUUGUGUGGUGGACUAUAUGGCAAGAGAAGAUGAAAGAGGCUUCGAAGAGAGUUCAGACAUUGAAGACGAACUCUGUAGAAUCCUUAUAUUUUUGGUGCUAAGAAAGAUGUGUAGAAGAUACAGAAUGUUUAUUAAGACUACCUAGAAUCUUUGUAAAAACCUUGUAAGAAGAACGAUGUUUUCUUUUCCAUUACUAGUGUUUUCUCUGUCUUCUGUUGUAAGGAUGGUACGCAGCAUUUCCUUAAUGCAGAUGAGUACAACAUUUUACCAAUUCAAAAAAAAAAUUGGCUUCAACCUAUUUUGUGUCAUUUGGUGUUUCCGAUCAUUGAGCAGAUGCUUUUGACCAGGGUAUUUCUGAUAAUUCGAAGUUCAAAUUCUGUUAGUGCACUGUAUGUCCACAGAAAAAACUGAGUUGCUGCCUUAAUUAUGUAUCUUUUAAGAAACCGAGUAUGCUACAGUCUACUUAAAAAUUAAAACUGGAAAACUUGACUAUUAAGCACACGCACGUAAAAAAAAAUGUGACCAAAUUGGUGAUUUUCCAUGACAUAUAAUUCAUAUAUUUCAGAAGAAUCGUUCUAGACAGAUAGCAAUUAUACAUAACUAUGUUUAAAUGUAAGCUAUUCCAGGAUAUUUGACCUUCCAAAGCUAGACUUGGCUAAUGUGCUGAGACAAAUGUUCCAGCUAAUUUCCCAAAGCAAGCAUUGUAAGAAAUAUAAGCCAUCCACACCAACACAAGAAAAAUUUGAGUGUUUUGGCCUAUUAUGAUCAGUUGAACCAUUUCAACGCGUCAUUCAUGUAAAACAGCUGGUUCUUAAGAUUUUCUUUGCUUCAUCAGCAAUAACUGAGGAGAAGACAAGUACAACUGACCUAGUAAUGGAUGGUAUUGUUGCCACAAGCCAAGAACAUGCAUUUAUCGGAAUCAAAGUCUUGGGUAUGUUUUCCCGAAGCCACAGUAGAGACCCUAGUGCUUCCAGAGUGCCAGUGAUAUACAAAAAACCUGAAAUGACAAUCAUGGAAUAAAGAGAAAAGUAGCAAUGUAGAGCAUUGUAUUCAAGGUGCUCAUUGAUUUAUGAAAUUUAAUAACUAAUGUUGUUUUUCCUUUUCGCUUGUGUGCGCGUAUACUUGUUUAUUUCCCAGUUGGGAGGGGUUUUGAAGGGUAGGGGUUGUUUUUCGUUGUGCUACAAAGGAGCAUGCAUUAAUUUGAUAAGAAAAUUUACCAAUUAACAUUAGCAUCUACGCGUUUCAAUACUUAGUCCCAUGUAAACUCCAGUCCUCAAGCAGCCACCCAAAGAGGUGCCAAUCUAUGCAGAACAGUGUCAGCAAAAGUCCAAUCUGUAAACAAACAAAAAAUAAGUAUAUUGCUGAGAAAGAAAAAUGCUGCCACUUAAAUUAUAACAAUCAUUUUUUUUUUCAAAUGACUACGCGUUUUCUGUACUUCAGCCACUUCCUAACUUUCGCUAAGCAUUCAUUCGUUCCCACAAGAUAUUACAACAGAGUUAAGACUACUCCGUCCACAUAAAGGAGACAGAUUGUCCUCCCUUUUUAAGUUGCCGAACACUAAGGGGCAGCCCGAUGCACUAAAGAUACCGCUAUGCGCGGUGUCCGGGGAAGGGCCCACCACAAGGGUUUAUCGUACGCAGCUUUACCUUGCAUUUCUGCAAGAGGUUGUUUCCAAGGCGUGAACCCGUGACCUCGUAUGGCAGAAACUUUACCAGUUACUCCAAGGCUCCUCUUCUGUGACAUGAAAAUCAAUUCUCAGCAAUACAACUUCAAUCGAUUGUAAAAUACACAACAACAACAUGCCCAGAGUAUUCCCGCACAGUGGGGUCUGGGGAGGUUAGAGUGCACACAGACCAUACCACUAUCUUAGGUGAGGUAGAGAGGUUGUUUCCCAUAGACCCCAGCGAUCGUAAAAUACACCUUUUAAUAAAAUUUGAAAUGAUACGAAAGUUUGCACUUAAUAAAAAAUUAUUGGCAUAAGAAGAAGAAUUUUAUCUAUGAUCAGAAGACCUACAAUCAGAUACACGGACGUGGUUGUCAAUUCAAGGGCAAAACAAGUUAGGGAGCCUCUCAGAUGUAGCCACAAAAUGCUGUCCACAAAAAACACCUAUAACCUAUGUCACCGAGGUCAUAGGUGUUUGUUCAUGAGAAACUAUGCCUGGGAAAGAAGUACCAAUGAUGUACAUCAUGCAUGAAAAGGAUUGUAAGCCACACUUGAUCAAACAAAGAAAGAAAUAACGAAGGGUUAAACUUUAAAGAAAAGAGGAAAUCGAAGAAGGAAUCUUGGUUUAAAUAAGAAAACCUCGACUUAAUCGAAGAAGGAAUCUUGGUUUAAAUAAGAAUUUGGGAUAAUUUGAAAUCACAUAAAUAUUCAUGAUUAAAGUCUUCUUAUUUCUCAGUCCUAAGCUAAGUCUUCUUCAAUGACCGAUCACUUUUUAGCAAAUUUAAGUAAAGUCUUAAAGGAAACAAAAGAUUUCAAGGCUCAAGCUAACAAGCUUCUUAAGAAAGAAAUUAAAGAGUUGAAAAGACAGCAAAACGUCGUUAUUGAGAAAGAAAAAAUCUAAAGAUUGGACAUACAUCACUAUCGUGAUGACACGAUUGAGAUGAGAGAUCUGGUAGGGCCUUUAGGAAAAUUCAAGAGUUUCAGACUUUCUAGAAGUCGACACCGAUCUUUUUUCAUUUGUUUUUGACAUUACCAAUGUAAGUAUUUGACACCCAAAAGGGAUUGCGAUUUUAUAUUCUUGGAGAUUUGCUUUUUUUAAUAGCCUUAUUCCUCCUUUAUCCGAAGGUUGUUCUUGAUUCUUGAUUUCAGCAAUGGUAGUCGCUGCUUCUUAAGUCUAUGCACACUAGCAUGCCUUCCUAAUGUGCAUUUUUUGAACAAAUAAGAUGAAUAUAAGAUUGAAUUCGCUCAUUAAGAAACUACCCGUUGUUUGUUCGAUCCAACACCGUGCCAAUCAAACCUAUCCUUGGAUUUAAUCCAACAAGUGAUUCUCUCCAUGAAAGAAUUCCGUCAUCUCACAUGCAUGUGCUUUUCUGAUUCAAUUACAUAAGCCCUAAUUUCGACUGACUGAACAAUCUUUCCCAAACAUUAGAUUCUCUUGUUCCAACCUCAUUACUCCCAAAAGGUCAAAAGAGCCUAUAAAAUUUGGCAACUUUUCUCUUCGUUUUGAUUCUCUUUCUAGCGCACACAUAAUUUUCUUUCUUUUUCCUUCCUCCAUUGUCCUUAUUGUAUUGACAUAUUUAUAGUGCGAUGAAACCAAUGCUUUCGUAAUUCAUACACCACUAGUCCCGAAUCUCGAUACCACAUCUUAUCAGCUUUCCCCUAGAACUAUCAAUAUACCGAAUAGAGGAUUUGCAAAAAAGAAAUUCUUUAUUUUCCAUUUUUUCACUCAGUUUUUUUUCCUUUUGCAGAAUGAGGAGUGAGAGUAAGAUUUGCAAGAAAUGGAAAGAGCAGAUGUACUAGUCAGAGGUUCAAUUUUUCAGAUUCUCUCCGGAACUUUUGAUCUACAACUUGUUAGUGUAAAAGUUCCUUUUACUUUCUAAUGAGGCUUGCUAUGUGGAAGAAAUUUAGCAAAAUUUCAAGUCCCCUUUGAUGUUUUAAAAAAUGAUCUUCAGAAUUUUUUUGCGAAAAAGUGUCACUUUACCUUUAUGCUAUGUGUUGUUUCCAUUGUUAUAGAGUUCAGAUUUUAUUUUUACACUGGGUAUGUUGUUGUUGUAGAGUUCAGAUUUUUGAGUGUUAGUUCAGAUUAGUGCUUUUGUCUUGAUGUUCUUUCUUGUGUUCCCCAAUUUCCAGCAGAUUCCAUAUUAGGGAGUGUUAUAAACCAUUGUUUCCUUUUAGGACUUGCCUAUUUGUUUUUUUGCCUUAUCUAUUUGUGCGCUUUCUUAUUUGUUCCUCUUAUUGAGUAGUGGCUUUUGUGGUCAAUGGUAGACUAGGGUCAUGUGAUACGUCGGGGUUGUGGAUGGGGUUGUGAUCGAGGACAGGGUGAGGUCAAGGUCAAGGUCAGGAUCAGGGUCAGGGUCUGGGUUAGGGUUGAGCUUGGGGUUGAGGUUGUAGGGUAGUAGGGAUAAGUGGGAUAAGAGAGCCUAUAGGUUGAGAGUUGGGUAGUGGAACUCUUCAAGGUAAGUCCAUAGAGCUUGUAACACUAUCCACCAAGGUUUGGACAUAUGAAAAGAAAUCACUUAAUGUCUUGCCUCUGGUGAAAUUUAAAUCUGAGACAUCAUGGUUUACUUGUCAAUUGUUGCUUUUACGGAGGUGCUACCCUCGAAGAAUAACUUGUUCACUUGUUCUGCAUCAUUACGAGGAAAAUAAUUUGUUAUGCUUAUAGUUGUAUAAACAUCCCAUUUCUAUCUUGGGUUGUUGUAACAAUAGUAUUGUUUUAGUGUUACUGUAUGUUAGUUCGAUGUCUUGUUCAUAGCAAUUUUCACUAUCUGGAAAGAAAACUAUUCCAAGUACAAAUCUUUACUCUAAUGUGUGUUGCUGCAGACUAGAAAACUUUCCAUGUUUCUAUUUGCUCCUUUUGAUUUAUUUGGAUUUUGGCCAUCUUAGCUAGUUUAUUUCACACAAAACAUGAAUCUUAACAAGGAAUGAUGAAGUUGCAGGCCAUUCCCAAAUUUGCCAACAAUCUGAGAGAAAAGCUAGGAGAUUCUGUUAGACUGACAGGACCUAGUGGCGCAACAUGGAAUGUCGGACUGACUCUAAUUAGAGAUACAUUAUUCCUCAAACAUGGGUGGAAAGAAUUCGUGGGCAUGCCCAUUCCCUUGAGGAAGAUGACUUGUUAAUAUUCAAGUAUAAUGGAUCCUCGAGGUUUGAUGUUUCAAUGUUUGACAGGUAGAGCUCGUGUGAGAAAGAAGCUUCAUGUUUCGUCAAAAAAUGUGAGCACGCUGAUGUUGCAAGUAUAAGCAGGACAAAGAGGCAUACACCUAGAGAAUAUUCUUCACGUGAUGUGUCUGAGGCCCCUCCAACAAAGAAACCUAAGCUUGCAGCAACUCCGACAUCAGAGGACACUAGUAAAUCUUCUUCACAUGAUGAGUAUGAGCCCCCAGCAAAAAAGAAAACACUUGCAUCGACUUCAACAUCUGUGGACACUAAUGAAUCUUCUUCACAUAAUGAGUAUGAGACCCCAACAAAAAGACAACUAAGCUUGCAUCGACUCCAACAUCUAGAGCACGGGGUGCUAGAGCUAAUGCCAAUUUGCCGUCCUAGGGAAAUCAAAUGUUAUGUCGGGACUGAACUGGACCAUGCCAGGAACCACAAUGGAGUUAGUAAACUGCUGCAAAAAAUGGGGACGUAGAGGAAUACAUAAGAAAUGGUGGGGACUAUUCCAGCUUUUGUGUGGUGGACUAUAUGGCAAGAGAAGAUGAAAGAGGCUUCGAAGAGAGUUCAAACAUUGAAGACGAACUCUGUAGAAUCCUUAUAUUUUUGGUGCUAAGAAAGAUGUGUAGAAGAUACAGAAUGUUUAUUAAGACUACCUAGAAUCUUUGUAAAAACCUUGUAAGAAGAACGAUGUUUUCUUUUCCAUUACUAGUGUUUUCUCUCUCUUCUGUUGUAAGGAUGGUACGCAGCAUUUCCUUAAUGCAGAUGAGUACAUCAUUUUACCAAUUCAAAAAAAAAACUUGGCUUCAACCUAUUUUGUAUCAUUUGGUGUUUUCGAUCAUUGAGCAGAUGCUUUUGACCAGGGUAUUUCUGAUAAUUCGAAGUUCAAAUUCCAUUAGUGCACUGUAUGUCUGCCUUAAUUAAGUAUCUUUUAAGAAACCGAGUAUACUACAGUCUGCUUAAAAAUUAAAACUGGAAAACUUGACUAUUAAGCACACACACGUAAAAAAAAAUGUGACCAAAUUGGUGAUUCUCCAUGACAUAUAAUUCAUAUAUUUCAAAAGAAUCAUUCUAGACAGAUAGCAAUUAUACAUAACUACGUUUAAAUGUAAGCUAUUCCAGGAUAUUUGACCUUGCAAAGCUAGACUUGGUAAAUGUGAUGAGACAAAUGUUCCAGCUAAUUUCCCAAAGCAAGCAUUGUAAGAAAUGUAAGCCAUCCAGUUCUUCUUCUUCUUCUUCUUCCCCCAGUGGCAGUUUCAGUAUCAAUCUUCAGAAAUCAGGACUGUGUGGUACAGUCGUCUAUCUCAGUAAGGAACUCAGAUAGUUCCAUGUAUUAGUAAAUGAUUAGCUUGUGGUCCUUUGAGGUCAUAAGCACCGUGUGACGUCUCGGGAUGGGAUCCCGGGACAUUACAAUUUGAGACUUCUGAGGCUAUGCCUCGUGGCACAGAUUGGCUUCGUGAUUCGUUGGAUCGUGUUCGAGUGAUUCAGGAUAGGCUACAAGCAGCUCAGAGCAGACAGAGGAGUUAUGCUGAUGGCAGACGUCGUCCAUUGAGUUUUAGAGUUGGUGAUAAGGUCUUUUUGCAAGUAUCGCCAUGAAGGAUGUGAUAAGGUUCGGAAGAAGGGGCAAGCUUAGCCCUAGAUAUAUCGGACCUUUUGAGAUCCUACAGAGAGUUGGGGAGGUAGAUUAUGUGUUGGCAUUGCCACCUGCCUUCUCAGCCAUUCACCCAGUGUAUCCUGUAUCUAUGUUGCGGCAGUAUAUUCCAGAUGAGUCACACGUACUUCAGUGUGACUCGAUUCAGUUGGACGAGGGAUUCACGUUUGUAGUGGAGCCAGCAUCUAUUUUGGCGAGGGAUGUCAGGCGGUUGCGCUCCAGGGACAUUUCGGUAGUUAAAGUUCAGUGGCGUUACCGUCCAGUUGAGGAGGCUACUUGGGAGAUCGAGCGUGAUAUGCGUGCCCAGUAUCCCAACAUGUUUGACCCUUCAGGUAUUUCCUUAUCUUUUACUUUCGCGGACAAAAGUCCUUUUAGUAGUGGAUGCUGUAAUGACCCUUACGGUCAUUUUACUGUAUUUUUAUAUAAUUUUAGUACUAUCUAAAUAUAUCAUGGAUUAUUUAAUUUAACUUGGCAUUUGGUAGAAAUAUAGUUUAGUACUCUUCUAGAAUAUUUUCGAUAUUGGUAAAAUUCGUUAAGUAAUGAUAUAAUUAUAUCACUUUAUAUUAGACUUUUAUGAUUUAUUAAUAUUUUAAACGGAGAUAGUAAUUUUAGAAUUGUGAAAAUAUUAUUAUUAUAUAAUAGAGAUUUUGUUAGAAAUAAUUUUCUAUUAAUUAUGGUAUAUUCAAAAUAUUAUAAUUAUUUUAUCAUGAAUUUAUGUAAUACCCGAAUAUAUAUAUGCUGUGUAGAAAAUUAAUGAAUGUGGCCACCACCGCACACUUGGAAAUGGAUGAUGGACCACAUGUUGCUGCCACUUGUUAGGCCACCAUAUGAUAGAAUUUGCCGUUUCUAAAAGUAAAAAAAAAUAAGAAGAGUGAACUUUCAUUCACUGCUUCUAUACAUAUACUCGUCUAUAUCUCUAUUUUCUCAUAUAUUGGCCUUUCUCGAUUUGCUUCUUUUUUUUUAGAAAAUCAAUUUAAGUUCUUGGUUAGUCUUAUAAAAUUUCAUAUAAAUUAAUUAUUCGAAUCUAUUAUUCAAGCUUGGGUUCUACUAGUAUUAUUCAGAGGCUUCGCAGACAAAUAUUCUAGCUUUGGCGUCCAGGACUUCAUAAUGGAAUGGUUGGGAGAGUUGUUGAAGUUAGAGGGCAUAGAGUCAGGGUAGAAUUGGAGGCUCAGAUGAAUCAUGCUUAUGUUGAUCGAAGUCAAAUUUAUGAGAUUGGGGAAGCGGAUAACUCUAUUUGCCCGGAAGAACACUAUGGUUUGGGGAGUGAAACUCCUGUGUAUUGUCCAAGAACACCACUCCGUCCAUGGAUGACUCCAGCAAGAGAUGCACCUGCAACACCUAUUCAUGAAGGAAUGAGAACACCUAUACGAAGUCGAGCAUGGAAUCCUUGUAGCUAAUUGUAGUACUUAGUAUUCUUCUAGUCCUUACUUAUUCCUAGUUUCUUCUUUCUGAAUGUAAGCACACAUUACGUUUACUCUGCAAUAUAAUAUUUGGUAGUUCGAUAUGCAGAGUUGGAUUUACGCUAAUGGCAACAUUUAUAAGUGAUAAAAGAACAGGUUCUAAUGAAUCUAAAGUAGUAACAAAACUAGUGCUACUGUAUAUCAUACUUUCUACGGUGAAAUAUUGAUUUCUCAUUCCAGAAGUUCCAAUUUCUGUUUUAAUAUAUGCAGAACAGAUGUUUCAUGGAAAUUGAACUAAG